GACAGAGGGUGCAAACGUUGUUCGGAAUUACUGGGCGUAAAGCGCGUGUAGGCGGCCCUGCAAGUCGGAUGUGAAAUCCCCACGGCUCAACCGUGGAAGUGCAUUCGAAACUGCAGGGCUAGAGUCCUGGAGAGGAAGGUGGAAUGCUUGGUGUAGAGGUGAAAUUCGUAGAUAUCAAGCGGAACACCGGUGGCGAAGGCGGCCUUCUGGA
rnacentral:rRNA from 1 species